rnacentral:rRNA from 1 species
UACGGAGGGGGGCUAGCGUUGUUCGGAAUUACUGGGCGUAAAGCGCACGUAGGCGGCUUUGUAAGUUAGAGGUGAAAGCCCGGGGCUCAACUCCGGAAUUGCCUUUAAAAACUGCAUCGCUAGAAUUGUGGAGAGGUAAGUGGAAAUUCCGAGUGUAGAGGUGAAAUUCGUAGAUAUUCGGAAGAACACCAGUGGCGAAGGCGACUUACUGGACACAUAUUGACGCUGAGGUGCGAAAGCGUGGGGAGCAAACAGG